GAUUUCUGGCUUGAUGUACCUGUCCCUCUUGGGUUAACCAGGCUGUGUGACGGAGUAUGUCUGCCAUCCUUCUAGAGAAUACAAGCUAUCCUUUACUGGACCGGUUUGUGUCAUCUAGAUCUUUUACUUUGAAAAAAUUAGAGUGUUUCAAGCAGGCGUUUUGCUAUGAAUACAUUAGCAUGGAAUAAUGAGUUAGGACUUCGGUUCUAUUUUGUUGGUUUCUAGGACUGAAGUAAUGAUUGAUAGGGAUAGUUGGGGGUGCUAGUAUUCAGCGGCCAGAGGUGAAAUUCUUGGAUUCGCUGAAGACUAACUUAUGCGAAAGCAUU
rnacentral:rRNA from 1 species